rnacentral:rRNA from 1 species
AUUGAACGCUGGCGGCAUGCUUUACACAUGCAAGUCGAGCGGCAGCGCGGGCUUCGGCCUGGCGGCGAGUGGCGAACGGGUGAGUAAUGCAUCGGAACGUGCCCAGUAGUGGGGGAUAGCCCGGCGAAAGCCGGAUUAAUACCGCAUACGACCUGAGGGUGAAAGCGGGGGACCGAAAGGCCUCGCGCUAUUGGAGCGGCCGAUGUCGGAUUAGCUAGUUGGCGGGGUAAAGGCUUACCAAGGCGACGAUCCGUAGCUGGUCUGAGAGGACGACCAGCCACACUGGGACUGAGACACGGCCCAGACUCCUACGGGAGGCAGCAGUGGGGAAUUUUGGACAAUGGGGGCAACCCAGAUCCAGCCAUGCCGCGUGCGGGAAGAAGGCCUUCGGGUUGUAAACCGCUUUUGUUCGGGAAGAAAUCCUCUGGGCUAAUACCCCGGGGGGAUGACGGUACCGGAAGAAUAAGCACCGGCUAACUACGUG